rnacentral:rRNA from 1 species
CGUAGGGUGCGAGCGUUAAUCGGAAUUACUGGGCGUAAAGCGUGCGCAGGCGGUUUUGUAAGACAGAUGUGAAAUCCCCGGGCUCAACCUGGGACCUGCAUUUGUGACUGCAAGGCUAGAGUACGGUAGAGGGGGAUGGAAUUCCGCGUGUAGCAGUGAAAUGCGUAGAUAUGCGGAGGAACACCGAUGGCGAAGGCAAUCCCCUGGACCUGUACUGACGCUCAUGCACGAAAGCGUGGGGAGCAAACAGGAUUAGAUACCCUGGUAGUCCACGCCCUAAACGAUGUCAACUGGUUGUUGGGUCUUUACUGACUCAGUAACGAAGCUAACGCGUGAAGUUGACCGCCUGGGGAGUACGGCCGCGAAGGUUG